AGAUUGUAAGGGAAUGAGGUUCUCCCGCGGCAAUGCCGGAAACGCUGAAACAGCUGAUGACUUCUGUAAAAUC
rnacentral:ncRNA from 2 species